AAGGCCUUCGGGUUGUAAAACUCUGUCUUCGGAGACGAACCCGUACGGGAGGAAAUGCCCGUGCGUUGACGGUAUCCGAGGAGGAAGCCCCGGCUAACUACGUGCCAGCAGCCGCGGUAAUACGUAGGGGGCAAGCGUUGUCCGGAAUCACUGGGCGUAAAGCGCGCGCAGGCGGCAUUUCACGUCUGGGGUGAAAGUCCAGAGCUCAACUCUGGGAUGGCCUUGGAAACGGGAGUGCUUGAGCGUCGGAGAGGCAAGGGGAAUUCCACGUGUAGCGGUGAAAUGCGUAAAGAUGUGGAGGAACACCAGUGGCGAAGGCGCCUUGCUGGC
rnacentral:rRNA from 1 species